GAUGAACGCUAGCUACAGGCUUAACACAUGCAAGUCGAGGGGCAGCAUGGUCUUAGCUUGCUAAGGCCGAUGGCGACCGGCGCACGGGUGAGUAACACGUAUCCAACCUGCCGUCUACUCUUGGACAGCCUUCUGAAAGGAAGAUUAAUACAAGAUGGCAUCAUGAGUCCGCAUGUUCACAUGAUUAAAGGUAUUCCGGUAGACGAUGGGGAUGCGUUCCAUUAGAUAGUAGGCGGGGUAACGGCCCACCUAGUCUUCGAUGGAUAGGGGUUCUGAGAGGAAGGUCCCCCACAUUGGAACUGAGACACGGUCCAAACUCCUACGGGAGGCAGCAGCGAGGAAUAUUGGUCAAUGGGCGCAGGCCUGAACCAGCCAAGUAGCGUGAAGGAUGACUGCCCUAUGGGUUGUAAACUUCUUUUAUAAAGGAAUAAAGUCGGGUAUGUAUACCCGUUUGCAUGUACUUUAUGAAUAAGGAUCGGCUAACUCCGUG
rnacentral:rRNA from 1 species